UACGGGGGGGGCAAGCGUUGUUCGGAAUUACUGGGCGUAAAGGGCUCGUAGGCGGCCAACUAAGUCAGACGUGAAAUCCCUCGGCUUAACCGGGGAACUGCGUCUGAUACUGGAUGGCUUGAGUUUGGGAGAGGGAUGCGGAAUUCCAGGUGUAGCGGUGAAAUGCAUAGAUAUCGGGAAGAACACCGACGGCGAAGGCACUCUGCUGGGCCGACACUGACACUGAAAGACGAAAGCCAGGGGAGCGAAUGGG
rnacentral:rRNA from 1 species